rnacentral:rRNA from 1 species
ACGGAAGGCAGCAGUGGGGGAUAUUGCACAAUGGGGGAAACCCUGAUGCAGCGACGCCGCGUGAGUGAAGAAGUAUUUCGGUAUGUAAAGCUCUAUCAGCAGGGAAGAUGAUGACGGUACCUGACUAAGAAGCCCCGGCUAACUACGUGCCAGCAGCCGCGGUAAUACGUAGGGGGCAAGCGUUAUCCGGAUUUACUGGGUGUAAAGGGAGCGUAGGCGGCUGUGCAAGUCAGAUGUGAAAACCCGGGGCUUAACUCCGGGACUGCAUUUGAAACUGCGUGGCUUGAGUACUGGAGAGGCAAGCGGAAUUCCUAGUGUAGCGGUGAAAUGCGUAGAUAUUAGGAAGAACACCGGUGGCGAAGGCGGCUUGCUGGACAGAGACUGACGCUGAGGCUCGAAAGCGUGGGGAGCAAACAGGAUUAGAUACCCUGGUA